UGGCGGACGGGUGAGUAAUGUUUGGGAAACUGCCCGAUGGAGGGGGAUAACUACUGGAAACGGUAGCUAAUACCGCAUAACGUCGCAAGACCAAAGAGGGGGACCUUCGGGCCUCUUGCCAUCGGAUGUGCCCAGAUGGGAUUAGCUAGUAGGUGGGGUAACGGCUCACCUAGGCGACGAUCCCUAGCUGGUCUGAGAGGAUGACCAGCCACACUGGAACUGAGACACGGUCCAG
rnacentral:rRNA from 1 species